ACGUUUUUUUCAUAGAGAUUUAGAUUUAAGGUUAGAAGAAUUGUGGAAGUCGUGAGACUUCCCUUUUUUUCAUCUUAAAGUUUGCUUUCUUUUUGAGCAAAAGCAUAAAAAGAAAGUAAACCUAAAAAGCCCCUUCGUGAGAAGAGGCUUUUUU
rfam:Bacteroides fragilis YCH46 DNA, complete genome.